AGCGAACGCUGGCGGCAGGCCUAACACAUGCAAGUCGAGCGCCCCUCCUUCAGAACACAGGAGUCAGUAAUCAGUAAUCAGUAAUCAGAUUUGGGAGAGAUCUGAUUACUGAUUACUGUCGUCUGAUUACUGUCUUCUGAUGGAGGGGAGCGGCAGACGGGAGAGUAACACGUGGGAACGUACCCUUUGGUUCGGAACAACCCAGGGAAACCUGGCUAAACCGAAUAAGCCCUUACGGGAAAGAUUCAUCGCCGAAGGAUCGGCCCGCGUCUGAUUAGCUAGUUGGGUGGGGUAACGGCCCACCAAGGCGACGAUCAGUAGCUGGUCUGAGAGGAUGAUCAGCCUCACUGGGACUGAGACAC
rnacentral:rRNA from 1 species